rnacentral:rRNA from 1 species
UACAGAGGUCUCAAGCGUUGUUCGGAUUUAUUGGGCGUAAAGGGUGCGUAGGCGGCGGAGUAAGUUGGGUGUGAAAUCCCGGGGCUCAACCUCGGAAUUGCAUUCAAUACUGCUUCGCUCGAGUACUGGAGAGGAGGCUGGAAUUUACGGUGUAGCAGUGAAAUGCGUAGAUAUCGUAAGGAAGGCCGGUGGCGAAAGCGAGCCUCUGGACAGUUACUGACGCUGAUGCACGAAGGCCAGGGGAGCAAAC